GCCUCUGUAGUGUAAUGGUAGCACUCUUGACUUCCACUUAAGCAGAGGGGUUCAAAUCCCCACAGAGGCUCCA
rnacentral:tRNA from 1 species